AGCUUGCUGAGCUCCGGAGCUGUCCUGUGGUGAGAAUUUGCUCUGUGCCGGGCUUGGGCUAGAAGUUUUACGAACACGAUAGCAUUUGAUUCUCACUGCAUCCCUGUGAGGUCAUCCUUUGAGAAGAUCAAUAAAAUGGAUAAAUCUCUAGCUGGACUGAUCAGGGAGGAAAAAGAAGAGAAGGCCUCAGAAACCAAGCUGCAGAAUGCACAGACACAAAAUUUUGUCUUUGCUGUCCAUCUGUGUUGACACGUUCACAACCAGGACAACCAAGAGUUUGGGCCUUCACCCAUCACCCUGAGGAUUUUGCCAAAAUGUCUCUCCUGAGGACACACUGGUGGAAAUUUGAUGGGGACACUGAGACCCAGAGGUGUUGGGGCUGCUGUCCAGAUGCAUGCAGCCGUGAGGAAAGCUUGGACUUGAACCAGAAUCUUCCCAUUGCUAACCCAGGACCCUCUGUCCUCUGCCCUGGGUUGCAUCUUCCCAGAGGGCUUUGGAAACACCCUGGAGAAUGAGCCGUGGGGGUGGUGACAUAGAGAACAAAACUGGCUAAGUGGUUGCCCACCCCCCACCCUGAGUCUUGUGACCCCCCAGCCCCGAGCGAGCAUCCCAGGUUGUGGAAGCAUCACACCAAAGUUCCCUGGAGGGCAGGUUACUCGAAGAUCUGGGUCAGGUGAUUCAAGGAAGGAAGAUUUCCUUGCCUGUGAUGGAACAAACUUUAAGUCUGGGUUUAACCUCAUCAGAAGUGUGCUGGGGCGGCAUUUCCCGCUGCUAUAUGGAGGGGAAUGUGAGCCCAUCUACAGAAAACACUUUGCUGCCAGGGGACUUUGUGAGCUGUGCUCCUUGCUGCCCAGGGACUCUGCAGAUGAAAUCUGAUCUUCCCUUUGAGUAUAAAAAUCCAGUUCAUCAACUCAAAGCCUCCCUUUGAAAGACUGAAGAGGCUGGCGCUUUCCCUGGUCUUCAAAAGGACCCAGAAGAGCACUCUGUAAGUGUUUAUGGGAUGGAUAAGCCCUUGUCGAAUCC